rnacentral:rRNA from 1 species
UACGUAGGGGGCUAGCGUUGUCCGGAAUCAUUGGGCGUAAAGAGCGUGUAGGCGGCUCGGUAAGUCCGCUGUGAAAGUCCAGGGCUCAACCCUGGAAUGCCAGUGGAAACUGUCGAGCUAGAGUCCGGAAGAGGAGAGUGGAAUUCCUGGUGUAGCGGUGAAAUGCGUAGAUAUCAGGAGGAACACCGGUGGCGAAGGCGGUUCUCUGGGCAUUACCUGACGCUGAGGAGCGAAAGUGUGGGGAGCAAACAGG